rnacentral:tRNA from 1 species
CGCCUCUUAGCUCAGUGGGUAUGAGCAGCUGGCUUUUAACCAGCGGGUCCUGGGUUCGAAUCCCAGAGGGGUGA